rnacentral:rRNA from 1 species
GUCAGCAGCCAUACCUUGUGCAGUUCAGACUAGGUGAUCCACCUGAAGCUAUGCAGGUUUGUACCUGCCUAGUACUUGGGUGGGAGACCAACUAGAAAAGCUGGGUUGCUGCUGGAA